rnacentral:rRNA from 1 species
GACGAACGCUGGCGGCGUGCUUAACACAUGCAAGUCGAACGGAAAGGCCCUGCUUUUGUGGGGUGCUCGAGUGGCGAACGGGUGAGUAACACGUGAGUAACCUGCCCUUGACUUUGGGAUAACUUCAGGAAACUGGGGCUAAUACCGGAUAGGAGCUCCUGCUGCAUGGUGGGGGUUGGAAAGUUUCGGCGGUUGGGGAUGGACUCGCGGCUUAUCAGCUUGUUGGUGGGGUAGUGGCUUACCAAGGCUUUGACGGGUAGCCGGCCUGAGAGGGUGACCGGCGACAUUGGGACUGAGAUACGGCCCAGACUCCAACGGGAGGCAGCAGUGGGGAAUAUUGCACAGUGGGCGGAAGCCUGAUGCAGCAACGCCGCGUGCGGGAUGACGGCCUUCGGGUUGUAAACCGCUUUCGCCUGUGACGAAGCGUGAGUGACGGUAAUGGGUAAAGAAGCACCGGCUAACUACGUG